AUUGAACGCUGGCGGCAGGCCUAACACAUGCAAGUCGAACGAGUGGCGGACGGGUGAGUAAUGUCUGGGAAACUGCCUGAUGGAGGGGGAUAACUACUGGAAACGGUAGCUAAUACCGCAUACCAUCAGCUGUGCCCAGAUUGGAUUAGCUAGUUGGUGGGGUAACGGCUCACCAAGGCGACGAUCCCUAGCUGGUCUGAGAGGAUGACCAGCCACACUGGAACGGAGACACGGGCGAGACUCCUAAGGGAGGCAGCAGGGGGGAAUAGUGCACAAGGGGCGCAAGCCUGAUGCAGCUAUGCCGCGGGUAUGAAGAAGGCUUUCGGGUUGUAAAGUACUUUCAGCGGGGAGGCGUGACCCGCAGAAGAAGCCCCGGCUAACUCCGAGCCAGCAGCCGCGGUAAUAC
rnacentral:rRNA from 1 species